rnacentral:rRNA from 1 species
GUGUCAGCAGCCGCGGUAACACGUAGGGGGCGAGCGUUGUCCGGAUUUAUUGGGCGUAAAGAGCUCGUAGGCGGCUCGGUAAGUCGGGUGUGAAAACUCGGGGCUCAACCCCGAGACGCCACUCGAUACUGCUGUGGCUUGAGUCCGGUAGGGGAGCGUGGAAUUCCUGGUGUAGCGGUGAAAUGCGCAGAUAUCAGGAGGAACACCAGUGGCGAAGGCGGCGCUCUGGGCCGGUACUGACGCUGAGGAGCGAAAGCGUGGGGAGCAAACAGGAUUAGAAACCCUUGUAGUCC